CUCCUCCCUCCGCGCACAGUCACAGUCCUCCCGGGCAGCAGCGGCAGCAGCUCUCUGCUGUCAACCAACUCCACCAACACACAUACACACACACACGAACCACCGCAGCAGAGGGAGGGAGGAGACGAGGAGGCAUGGCCAUGGAGGACUCGUCCUCGGGCUCGGAGCCCACCACCUCGUCCUCGGCGGAGGCGCCCGCGUCGCCGACCGCGACCACGGCGUCGUCG
rnacentral:lncRNA from 1 species